rnacentral:rRNA from 1 species
AGUGAACGCUGGCUGCGUGCCUAAUACAUGCAAGUCGAACGGAGUGGCGCACGGGUGAGUAAUGUAUAGCUAAUCUGUCCUACACUAGAGGACAACAGUUGGAAACGGCUGCUAAUACUCUAUAGUGUAGGAUGAGGCUAUAUUGUAUCAGCUAGUUGGUGAGGUAAUGGCUCACCAAGGCUAUGACGCAUAACUGGUCUGAGAGGAUGAUCAGUCAAACCGGAACUGAGACACGGUCCAGACUCCUACGGGAAGCAGCAGUAGGGAAUAUUGCUCAAUGGGGGAAACCCUGAAGCAGCAACGGCGCGUGGAGGAUGACACUUGUCGGAGAGGAAACUCCUUUUGUGAGGGAAGCGGUACCUAACGAAUAAGCACCGGCUAACUCCGUGCCAGCAGCCGCGGUAAUUC